GACGAACGCUGGCGGCGUGCUUAACACAUGCAAGUCGAACGGAAAGGCCCUGCUUUUGUGGGGUGCUCGAGUGGCGAACGGGUGAGUAACACGUGAGUAACCUGCCCUUGACUUUGGGAUAACUUCAGGAGACUGGGGCUAAUACCGGAUAGGAGCUCCUGCCGCAUGGUGGGGGUUGGAAAGUUUCGGCGGUUGGGGAUGGACUCGCGGCUUAUCAGCUUGUUGGUGGGGUAGUGGCUUACCAAGGCUUUGACGGGUAGCCGGCCUGAGAGGGUGACCGGCCACAUUGGGACUGAGAUACGGCCCAGACUCCUACGGGAGGCAGCAGUGGGGAAUAUUGCACAAUGGGCGGAAGCCUGAUGCAGCAACGCCGCGUGCGGGAUGACGGCCUUCGGGUUGUAAACCGCUUUCGCCUGUGACGAAGCGUGAGUGACGGUAAUGGGUAAAGAAGCACCGGCUAACUACGUG
rnacentral:rRNA from 1 species